rnacentral:rRNA from 1 species
AUUGAACGCUGGCGGCAGGCCUAACACAUGCAAGUCGAGCGAGCGGCGGACGGGUGAGUAAUUUCUGGGGAUCUGCCCGAUAGAGGGGGAUAACUCCUGGAAACGGUGGCUAAUCCCGCAUACUAUAGGAUGAACCCAGAUGGGAUUAGCUAGUAGGUGGGGUAACGGCUAACCUAGGCGACGAUCUCUAGCUGGUCUGAGAGGAUGAGCAGCCACACUGGGACUGGGACACGGCCCAGACGCCUACGGGAGGCAGCAGUGGGGAAUAUUGCACAAGGGGCGCAAGCCUGAUGCAGCCAUGCCGCUUGUAUGAAGAAGGCCUUAGGGUUGUAAAGUACUUUCAGCGGGGAGGCGUUACCCGCAGAAGAAGCACCGGCUAACUCCGUGCCAGCAGCCGCGGUAAUUC